CCGGCGACCGGCGGACGGGUGCGUAACGCGUAUGUAACCUACCUUUGACAGGGGGAUAACAUCGAGAAAUUGGCACUAAUACCCCAUAACAUCACCGGAGGCAUCUUCGGUGGUUGAAAACUCAGGUGGUCAGAGAUGGACAUGCGUUGUAUUAGCUAGUUGGUGAGGUAACGGCUCACCAAGGCGACGAUACAUAGGGGGACUGAGAGGUCAACCCCCCACAUUGGUACUGAGACACGGACCAAACUCCUACGGAAGGCAGCAG
rnacentral:rRNA from 1 species